rnacentral:rRNA from 1 species
GACAAUGGAGGCAACUCUGAUCCAGCCAUGCCGCGUGCAGGAAGACUGCCCUAUGGGUUGUAAACUGCUUUUAUACAGGAAGAAACACCUCUACGUGUAGAGGCUUGACGGUACUGUAAGAAUAAGGAUCGGCUAACUCCGUGCCAGCAGCCGCGGUAAUACGGAGGAUCCAAGCGUUAUCCGGAAUCAUUGGGUUUAAAGGGUCCGUAGGUGGAUAAUUAAGUCAGAGGUGAAAUCUUGCAGCUCAACUGUAAAAUUGCCUUUGAAACUGGUUAUCUUGAGUUAUUAUGAAGUAGUUAGAAUAUGUAGUGUAGCGGUGAAAUGCAUAGAUAUUACAUAGAAUACCAAUUGCGAAGGCAGAUUACUAAUAAUCAACUGACACUGAUGGACGAAAGCGUGGGUAGCGAACAGGAUUAGAUACCCUGGUAGUCCACGCCGUAAACGAUGGUUACUAGCUGUUUGGACUUCGGUCUGAGUGGCUAAGCGAAAGUGAUAAGUAACCCACCUGGGGAGUACGUUCGCAAGAAUGAAACUCAAAGGAAUUGACGGGGGCCCGCACAAGCGGUGGAGCAUGUGGUUUAAUUCGAUGAUACGCGAGGAACCUUACC